CACAUACGGCUAGCUUUCUAGAAUGGGUCCCGACUGCUUUAAUUUUACGAUGACUUUCUUGUUUUAGGGCUUUUUUUUUUCAUUUUCAUUUUGUGAAGAAACGCAGUCGGGUUUUUUAGUUUUUUAAAUUACCUAAUUUUAUUUAUUUGCUUGCUUGUCUGUAUUAUUUUUUCACUAUCACAUAUUGUUGAUUCACUUGCAUUAUUAAUUGCAUGUUUUUUUUUUGUUAAUUAGCCAAUUAUCACAAUUCCUUUGGUGGAUGCUAGUCCUACUAGCAACCAUUUGAACAACUCCUGCUCGUAAGUUUUGCUAGCUUGGUACUCUGUGCUUAAUUUGCUUAGCUUUUAUACUUGAAUAAAAUAACCUUGUUUCUUUUUUAACUAUUAUGAUAAUAUUGCAUUUAUUUUAACAGCCUAUUAGACAAUUAUGAACAUGAGCUCGUGGAAACUGUGCUACAACAAGAAAUAAGCUUGGAUCAGGAAAACUUUGCUCAGACUUCCACCAGCAACAGCCUCCGAAGCGACGCAAACGCCAAAAAUCCACACGGCGUUACGCAGCAGAAGAUACAGCAAACCAUGCAGCUCUUGAAGCUGCUCAAUCGAGACUGGAGGCUAUUGAAGCGAGGAACGCCAAAGCCAGUUUAAAAACUGCAGAGGCAAUUAAUAAUUUAGCUGCGGCCAUCAGUAGACAAAGCUCCACCACUGAAAAAGUCGUGAAACUUUUGGACCGCUUUGUGACGUCUGUGUCAAAAAAGGUUAUUACUGUUAAUUUAUAGGUAAUUAAAUUGUAUGAAAUGGUUUCACUCAAAAUCUAAACUUUUACUUUUGUUUUCAUAGAAACUCCGGAGGUUGUUAUCAUCAUCCGAUUCUGAGUCAGACUAGUUUCUAGAACUAUGCUAGAGGUAAUUUGGUCAGAUUAUUAAGACUAUAAAGAUUGUAAAGUAAAUGAAACAAGUGUUUAUAAAAAUAGUAUUAUGUUAGUAAAUAGGAACGCAACCAUAUUAAUAUUUUGUGUCUGUGGCGCUGUCUACAUGUAAUGUCAUUGUCAUGUUAACUUUUUUCAUUUCUGCCGAUAUGCUAUCAUUUCGACGCGGUUUAGCAAUCAGAGGAAUGAGUUCGUCAAUUAACCCCCUGACUGAGUCUUUUCCAAGGCGAAACGUUUUUACAAAUUCCGCCUCAGGAACAUCAGUGAAGGGGUUCAUGUCGAUUCUCAUCAACCGACGGGCUAAACGGCGUUUUCUGGCUUCCCUGCAUCUUUUUUCUCUAGCAUCCACUGCGUUAGCUAGUAUCAGAAUAUUUGUUCGCAGUUAAUACAUUCUUCGAUGCACGAUUUAAAACAAAGUUUUUGAUUUCGAUACUAAACAAUGUCUAAUUAGGCAAUGUCUGCACAAUGACGUUCCAAUGGUAGGUCACUGAUAAAAGGAACUGUCAAAAUUUUAGCAGAUUACCGCAUAAGUCAGACUAUCAUCUGCCAUUGUGUACGAGAUUACCAUUCUGUGCCACUUCUUUCAAUGGAGUGUCAGUGGUUGACCAUUGGAAAGUCAUAAUGACGCCAUUAUAUUAGUAGACUACCAAACUUGUCAAAGUCGACAAUUUUGAAAUCAAUGUUCGAUCAUUCUGACACAAUUGUGAUAGCAGCAGACUAAGGCCCCUGAAUCAGUAAUGGGACCUAAGUUGAGCCAAUCCGCGUCGAACAAAAAAAUAAUCACGCAAAUCGGUCCAUAAACCACGGCGUAAUGGGUGUACAUACUACAUAGAAAAAAAAAAUAGCGGCCGAAUUGAGAAUCUCCUCCUUUUUGGGAAGUCGGUUAAUAAAUGAACAGGCCCUGGAGAGUCCUGUAUAAAUACUUAUAUAAUACUAGCGGACCCGACAGACGUCCUGUCUACACGUCUUUAAUUUGAAAAUUUGUCGGAUCCAAUGUAAAACAUUCCAAAAUCAACAACUACUAAUAAAUUAAAAAUUAAUUAAAAAAACAUUGUCCAGCAAACAAAAUUGUGAAUCUAAACCAUUCUCAGAUCCCCUUGAAUACACACAAAAAAUUUAAUCAAAAUCGGUCCAGUCGUUUAAGAGAAGUUCAGUGACAUACACACUUACGGAAGAAUUAUAUAUAUAAAGACGGUCAUAUAUUAUUAUAAUGUUAUUUUGUACCUUACAAUGAUAGUGUGAAAUAAAAUAAAAAAGUGUAACG